GACGAUACCUUAGAAAUGGAAGUUUGACCAGCUUUACCCAUUUCACCACCAACCUAACAGCAACCACCAAUCUACUUCCUGUUUCUAGAUCGUGAAGAUCUGAGGACAGUGCAUCACAUCUCAGGGGAAGGUUAUGAUACAAAAUUCUGUGGUCUGUCAUGGAAGCUUUACCCUGGAUUACAAUUCCUCAGCCAGAAGCACGAAAAAACCUGAAAUUGCUUUUAACAAAGUCCUUAGAGUUGAUUUGGAAUGAGAAGAAUUGGGUUUGAGACUUUAUGCUGUAAUUUUACAGCUAGGUAACGUUGGAUAUAUCUUGAAAGUUACCAAGAAGGACUCAUCAAAUAUCACCUGAGUGAGACAGUCCUGAGAGCAUAACCCAUGAAUAUAAUUCAUCUGAGGUAGCACUUACUCCAGAUAACUCAAUGAUCAACUCAGCAAGAGCAGCAAACAUCAAAAUUCUACGGCUUUGUAUAUGUACAACUGAAUCACUUUGCUGUACACUUGAAACUAACACAACACUGUUAAUCAACUGUACUCCAAUAUAAAAUAAAAAUUAAAAAAAAAUUAUACGGCUUAGGACAUAUCUCACAUCCUGGGAGCACUGUGUACAAGCUUUCAGUCACCAGAAAAUCAGCAAGAAGGGAAAUGAAGACUUGUGGUAUGAAGCAUUUUUGGAGGAGGUCAUUGAGAUGGUGUUACCACUGGUUGACCUGCAAGCUGGACCUGGGCAAUCGAAGACACCUCAUCUGUUCUCCUGUCCUUGGACCCACAUUCUACAUUCUACCCACCAUUCCCACUGUGGGAGCUGUUCCAAGGAUGUAGCCUUGAAAGAGUAAGAUGUUGAUGAGACCUCUGGAUGGUAUAUGUGACUGAGCCCAGUUAAGGCCACUAUAUAAACUUAAGAUUCUGGCUGGUGGAUACGGAGAUCUGCUCAUCCUGCAGCUGCC